AGGAUUGGGCCGAGCCUAUGCCCUGGCUUUUGCAGAAAGAGGAGCGUUAGUUGUUGUGAAUGAUUUGGGAGGGGACUUCAAAGGAGUUGGUAAAGGCUCCUUAGCUGCUGAUAAGGUUGUUGAAGAAAUAAGAAGGAGAGGUGGAAAAGCAGUGGCCAACUAUGAUUCAGUGGAAGAAGGAGAGAAGGUUGUGAAGACAGCCCUGGAUGCUUUUGGAAGAAUAGAUGUGACUUGUAUCUUUUUAUAUUGUAGAUGUUGUGGUCAACAAUGCUGGAAUUCUGAGGGAUCGUUCCUUUGCUAGGAUAAGUGAUGAAGACUGGGGUA
rnacentral:sRNA from 1 species